CGGGACUGCCACCGUAAGGUGAGAGGAAGUGGGGAUGACGUCAAAUCAGCACGGCCCUUAUGGUCCAGGGCUACACACGUGUUACAAUGGCCGGUACAGAGGGCAGCUACCUGGUGACAGGAUGCUAAUCCCGAAAGCCGGUCCCGGUUCGGAUUGGAGUCUGCAACCCGACUCCAUGAAGUUGGAUUCGCUAGUAAUCGCGCAUCAGCCAUGGCGCGGUGAAUACGUUCCCGGGCCUU
rnacentral:rRNA from 1 species